GAUGAACGCUAGCUACAGGCUUAACACAUGCAAGUCGAGGGGCAGCAUGGUCUUAGCUUGCUAAGGCCGAUGGCGACCGGCGCACGGGUGAGUAGCACGUAUCCAACCUGCCGUCUACUCUUGGACAGCCUUCUGAAAGGAAGAUUAAUACAAGAUGGCAUCAUGAGUCCGCAUGUUCACAUGAUUAAAGGUAUUCCGGUAGACGAUGGGGAUGCGUUCCAUUAGAUAGUAGGCGGGGUAACGGCCCACCUAGUCUUCGAUGGAUAGGGGUUCUGAGAGGAAGGUCCCCCACAUUGGAACUGAGACACGGUCCAAACUCCUACGGGAGGCAGCAGUGAGGAAUAUUGGUCAAUGGGCGCAGGCCUGAACCAGCCAAGUAGCGUGAAGGAUGACUGCCCUAUGGGUUGUAAACUUCUUUUAUAAAGGAAUAAAGUCGGGUAUGUAUACCCGUUUGCAUGUACUUGAUGAAUAAGGAUCGGCUAACUCCGUG
rnacentral:rRNA from 1 species